rnacentral:rRNA from 1 species
UACGAAGGGGGCUAGCGUUGCUCGGAAUCACUGGGCGUAAAGCGCACGUAGGCGGCUUUUUAAGUCAGAGGUGAAAUCCUGGAGCUCAACUCCAGAACUGCCUUUGAUACUGGAGAGCUUGAGUCCGGGGGAGGUGAGUGGAACUGCGAGUGUAGAGGUGAAAUUCGUAGAUAUUCGCAAGAACACCAGUGGCGAAGGCGGCUCACUGGCCCGGUACUGACGCUGAGGUGCGAAAGCGUGGGGAGCAAACAGG